GCCAAUGUAGUUCAUUGGUGAGAGUGUCAGCCCACCCACUGAAGGUCAUGGGUUUGAUUCCUAAUCAAUGUCA
rnacentral:tRNA from 1 species